UAGCGCAGCCUGGCUAGCGCGUCUGGUUUGGGACCAGAAGGUCGCGAGUUCGAAUCUCG
rnacentral:tRNA from 1 species